ensembl:snRNA U5 U5 spliceosomal RNA
UCACUCUUGUUUCUCUUCAGAUCGUAUAAAUCUUUCGCCUUUUACUAAAGAUUUCCGUGGAGAGUAGCAUCAUGAGUUUUAACUAAUUUUUUGAUGCCCUGCUGCUCAGCAGGGCU